GGCAUGCCUUACACAUGCAAGUCGAACGGUAACAGGUCUUCGGAUGCUGACGAGUGGCGAACGGGUGAGUAAUACAUCGGAACGUGCCCGAGAGUGGGGGAUAACGAAGCGAAAGCUUUGCUAAUACCGCAUACGAUCUCAGGAUGAAAGCAGGGGACCGCAAGGCCUCGCGCUCACGGAGCGGCCGAUGGCAGAUUAGGUAGUUGGUGGGAUAAAAGCUUACCAAGCCGACGAUCUGUAGCUGGUCUGAGAGGACGACCAGCCACACUGGGACUGAGACACGGCCCAGACUCCUACGGGAGGCAGCAGUGGGGAAUUUUGGACAAUGGGCGCAAGCCUGAUCCAGCCAUGCCGCGUGCAGGAUGAAGGCCUUCGGGUUGUAAACUGCUUUUGUACGGAACGAAAAGACUCUGGUUAAUACCUGGGGUCCAUGACGGUACCGUAAGAAUAAGCACCGGCUAACUACGUGCCAGCAGCCGCGGUAAUACGUAGGGUGCGAGCGUUAAUCGGAAUUACUGGGCGUAAAGCGUGCGCAGGCGGUUAUAUAAGACAGAUGUGAAAUCCCCGGGCUCAACCUGGGAACUGCAUUUGUGACUGUAUAGCUAGAGUACGGCAGAGGGGGAUGGAAUUCCGCGUGUAGCAGUGAAAUGCGUAGAUAUGCGGAGGAACACCGAUGGCGAAGGCAAU
rnacentral:rRNA from 1 species